ACCAAGAAAUCAACAAAAAAUAAGAGCUAUGGCGAAGUACACUACUUUUCUCGCCCUCCUCUUUUGCCUCUUCCUUGUUGCUGCAACUGAAAUACAAAUGGCAGAAGGCAAAUAUUGUUGGAAAAAAAGUGACAAGUGGAAUGGACCAUGUCAAUACUCUUACAAAUGUAGUUAUCAUUGCAAACACUACUAUGGAGCUAAAUAUGGUAUUUGUAAGAAGUACAAACCAUGGGGCCACAAAUAUUACUGGGCAAAAUAUGCAUGUUACUGUUACUCACCUUGCCACUACUAAGAAACUUUCUGUUUCUCAUGGUUUGGCUUUCAUUAUGUAAAAAAAUAUGAAGCUAGCUACUACUUUAUGUGUGUAACAAUAUAUGUAAUAAGGCUGAUUUAUGUGUAAUUAUUUUGGCCAAGCUUUGCGUGAUGAGUAAGUGUAUUGUAUACCGUUCUAUUAAUAUUAAUUGCCAGCGAGGUACUUUUUUACUGA